GGUUAAGCGACUAAGCGUACACGGUGGAUGCCCUGGCAGUCAGAGGCGAUGAAGGACGUGCUAAUCUGCGAUAAGCGUCGGUAAGGUGAUAUGAACCGUUAUAACCGGCGAUUUCCGAAUGGGAAACCCAGUGUGUUUCGACACACUAUCAUUAACUGAAUCCAUAGGUUAAUGAGGCGAACCGGGGAACUGAAACAUCUAAGUACCCCGAGGAAAAGAAAUCAACCGAGAUUCCCCCAGUAGCGGCGAGCGAACGGGGAGGAGCCCAGAGCCUGAAUCAGUGUGUGUGUUAGUGGAAGCGUCUGGAAAGGCGCGCGAUACAGGGUGACAGCCCCGUACACAAAAAUACACAUGCUGUGAGCUCGAUGAGUAGGGCGGGACACGUGGUAUCCUGUCUGAAUAUGGGGGACCAUCCUCCAGGCUAAAUACUCCUGACUGACCGAUAGUGAACCAGUACCGUGAGGGAAAGGCGAAAAGAACCCCGGCGAGGGAGUGAAAAAGAACCUGAAACCGUGUACGUACAAGCAGUGGAAGCCUAUUUAUGGGGUGACUGCGUACCUUUUGUAUAAUGGGUCAGCGACUUAUAUUCUGUAGCAAGGUUAACCGAAUAGGGGAGCCGAAGGAAACCGAGUCUUAACUGGGCGUUAAGUUGCAGGGUAUAGACCCGAAACCCGGUGAUCUAGCCAUGGGCAGGUUGAAGGUUGGGUAACACUAACUGGAGGACCGAACCGACUAAUGUUGAAAAAUUAGCGGAUGACUUGUGGCUGGGGGUGAAAGGCCAAUCAAACCGGGAGAUAGCUGGUUCUCCCCGAAAGCUAUUUAGGUAGCGCCUCGUGAAUUCAUCUCCGGGGGUAGAGCACUGUUUCGGCAAGGGGUCAUCCCGACUUACCAACCCGAUGCAAACUGCGAAUACCGGAGAAUGUUAUCACGGGAGACACACGGCGGGUGCUAACGUCCGUCGUGAGAGGAAACAACCCAGACCGCCAGUUAAGGUCCCAAAGUCAUGGUUAAGUGGGAAACGAUGUGGGAAGGCCCAGACAGCCAGGAUGUUGGCUUAGAAGCAGCCAUCAUUUAAAGAAAGCGUAAUAGCUCACUGGUCGAGUCGGCCUGCGCGGAAGAUGUAACGGGGCUAAACCAUGCACCGAAGCUGCGGCAGCGACGCUUAUGCGUUGUUGGGUAGGGGAGCGUUCUGUAAGCCUGCGAAGGUGUACUGUGAGGUAUGCUGGAGGUAUCAGAAGUGCGAAUGCUGACAUAAGUAACGAUAAAGCGGGUGAAAAGCCCGCUCGCCGGAAGACCAAGGGUUCCUGUCCAACGUUAAUCGGGGCAGGGUGAGUCGACCCCUAAGGCGAGGCCGAAAGGCGUAGUCGAUGGGAAACAGGUUAAUAUUCCUGUACUUGGUGUUACUGCGAAGGGGGACGGAGAAGGCUAUGUUGGUACGGGCGACGGUUGUCCCGGUUUAAGCGUGUAGGCUGGUUUUCCAGGCAAAUCCGGAAAAUCAAGGCUGAGGCGUGAUGACGAGGCACUACGGUGCUGAAGUAACAAAUGCCCUGCUUCCAGGAAAAGCCUCUAAGCAUCAGGUAACAUCAAAUCGUACCCCAAACCGACACAGGUGGUCAGGUAGAGAAUACCAAGGCGCUUGAGAGAACUCGGGUGAAGGAACUAGGCAAAAUGGUGCUAGUAACUUCGGGAGAAGGCACGCUGAUAUGUAGGUGAAGCGACUUGCUCGUGGAGCUGAAAUCAGUCGAAGAUACCAGCUGGCUGCAACUGUUUAUUAAAAACACAGCACUGUGCAAACACGAAAGUGGACGUAUACGGUGUGACGCCUGCCCGGUGCCGGAAGGUUAAUUGAUGGGGUUAGCGGUAACGCGAAGCUCUUGAUCGAAGCCCCGGUAAACGGCAGCGUAACUAUAACGGUCCUAAGGUAGCGAAAUUCCUUGUCGGGUAAGUUCCGACCUGCACGAAUGGCGUAAUGAUGGCAGGGCUGUCUCCACCGAGACUCAGUGAAAUUGAACUCGCUGUGAAGAUGCAGUGUACCCGCGGCAAGACGGAAAGACCCCGUGAACCUUUACUAUAGCUUGACACUGAACAUUGAGCCUUGAUGUGUAGGAUAGGUGGGAGGCUUUGGAAGUGUGGACGCCAGUCUGCAUGGAGCCGACCUUGAAAUACCACCCUUUAAUGUUUGAUGUUCUAACGUUGGCCCCUAAUCGGGGUUGCGGACAGUGUCUGGUGGGUAGUUUGACUGGGGCGGUCUCCUCCUAAAGAGUAACGGAGGAGCACGAAGGUUGGCUAAUCCUGGUCGGACAUCAGGAGGUUAGUGCAAUGGCAUAAGCCAGCUUGACUGCGAGCGUGACGGCGCGAGCAGGUGCGAAAGCAGGUCAUAGUGAUCCGGUGGUUCUGAAUGGAAGGGCCAUCGCUCAACGGAUAAAAGGUACUCCGGGGAUAACAGGCUGAUACCGCCCAAGAGUUCAUAUCGACGGCGGUGUUUGGCACCUCGAUGUCGGCUCAUCACAUCCUGGGGCUGAAGUAGGUCCGAGGGUAUGGCUGUUCGCCAUUUAAAGUGGUACGCGAGCUGGGUUUAGAACGUCGUGAGACAGUUCGGUCCCUAUCUGCCGUGGGCGCUGGAGAACUGAGGGGGCUGCUCUAGUACGAGAGGACCGGAGUGGACGCAUCACUGGUGUUCGGGUUGUCAUGCCAAUGGCACUGCCCGGUAGCUAAAUGCGGAAGAGAUAAGUGCUGAAAGCAUCUAAGCACGAAACUUGCCCCGAGAUGAGUUCUCCUGACUCCUUGAGAGUCCUGAAGGAACGUUGAAGACGACGACGUUGAUAGGCCGGGUGUGUAAGCGCAGCGAUGCGUUGAGCUAACCGGUACUAAUGAACCGUGAGGCUUAACCUU
rnacentral:rRNA from 1 species